rnacentral:tRNA from 1 species
AGGUCGCUGGUGUAACGGUCAGCACAUCGGCAUUUUAAGCCGAUCGGUACAGGUUCGAAUCCUGUGCGGCCUACCA